GAUCGAGGCCUUCAUCAGAGACAACGUUACACUCAGUCUACCCAACAGCUUCAGACAUUCAAUUCAGCUAGAGCUGUUGCACAAGCUUCAACAAGGGGACAGGUCUCUGGAGGAAGUGUGUCAUAAACUGUGUGUGUGUAACGCAGUGAGAGAUGCACUGGAGGGUGGCAUCCUCAGUGUGUCCUUCCAUCAGCUGCUCCUCAAACCCAGCAAAAACGCCAUCAGUUUUCUGCUGGAGGUGUGUACAGGUCACUGGAUAAGGAGCACAGGUCUGAAACAAGCAAGAGGAAAAUCGCCAUUUUCAUCAAAUUUGUUUGAAGUGAAUUUCACAUGGGGGAGGGGAAAUGCUGCAGCAGUCUGCAUAAACAGGAACUAUUUUUUUAUAUCAUGUAUCAUCAUUGGAUUUUAGAUUAAAGAAAAAGUUUGGGU